rnacentral:tRNA from 1 species
UGCUUGUUAGCUCAGUUGGAUAGAGCAGUCAGCUCAUAACUGAUAGGUCACAGGUUCAACUCCUGUACAAGCCA